UACGUAGGGGGCAAGCGUUAUCCGGAUUUACUGGGUGUAAAGGGAGCGUAGGUGGUGAUGCAAGUCAGAAGUGAAAGCCCUCGGCUCAACUGAGGGACUGCUUUUGAAACUGUAUGACUAGAGUGCAGGAGGGGUAAGCGGAAUUCCUAGUGUAGCGGUGAAAUGCGUAGAUAUUAGGAAGAACACCGGUGGCGAAGGCGGCUUACUGGACUGAAACUGACACUGAGGCUCGAAAGCGUGGGGAGCAAAC
rnacentral:rRNA from 1 species